GCGAAAGUGCGACACGACAGUAAAACAGAAAACGCUAGGUGUGUAUUCGCACGGCGGUAUUAUAGUUUCUACCGCUCUCACGAUAGUCUCGCGAUAAAGUAAAGUAUACGCAAUUACGAUAGUCCGAUAUAUAUGGGUAUACUAUAGGCUCUAUCCACACAACGACAAUCCGUGGUGUAGUAACGAUAGUAGUGAAUUUCAGAACUAUCGCGAUAAUGCGUGGACCAGGCUUGAAAUAACAUU